CAACGCCGCGUGAGUGAUGAAGGUUUUCGGAUCGUAAAGCUCUGUUGUUAGGGAAGAACAAGUGCCGUUCAAAUAGGGCGGCACCUUGACGGUACCUAACCAGAAAGCCACGGCUAACUACGUGCCAGCAGCCGCGGUAAUACGUAGGUGGCAAGCGUUGUCCGGAAUUAUUGGGCGUAAAGGGCUCGCAGGCGGUUUCUUAAGUCUGAUGUGAAAGCCCCCGGCUCAACCGGGGAGGGUCAUUGGAAACUGGGGAACUUGAGUGCAGAAGAGGAGAGUGGAAUUCCACGUGUAGCGGUGAAAUGCGUAGAGAUGUGGAGGAACACCAGUGGCGAAGGCGACUCUCUGGUCUGUAACUGACGCUGAGGAGCGAAAGCGUGGGGAGCGAACAGGAUUAGAUACCCUGGUAGUCCACGCCGUAAACGAUGAGUGCUAAGUGUUAGGGGGUUUCCGCCCCUUAGUGCUGCAGCUAACGCAUUAAGCACUCCGCCUGGGGGAGUACGGUCGCAAGACUG
rnacentral:rRNA from 1 species